rnacentral:rRNA from 1 species
UGCAAGUCGAACGGUGAAGCUCAAGCUUGCUUGGGUGGAUCAGUGGCGAACGGGUGAGUAACACGUGAGCAACCUGCCCCGGACUCUGGAAUAAGCGCUGGAAACGGCGUCUAAUACUGGAUAUGACACCAAUCCGCAUGGGUAUGGUGUGGAAAGUUUUUCGGUCUGGGAUGGGCUCGCGGCCUAUCAGCUUGUUGGUGAGGUAAUGGCUCACCAAGGCGACGACGGGUAGCCGGCCUGAGAGGGCGACCGGCCACACUGGGACUGAGACACGGCCCAGACUCCUACGGGAGGCAGCAGUGGGGAAUAUUGCACAAUGGGCGAAAGCCUGAUGCAGCGACGCCGCGUGAGGGAUGACGGCCUUCGGGUUGUAAACCUCUUUCAGCAGGGAAGAAGCGAAAGUGACGGUACCUGCAGAAGAAGCACCGGCUAACUACGUGCCAGCAGCCGCGGUAAUACGUAGGGUGCGAGCGUUGUCCGGAAUUAUUGGGCGUAAAGAGCUUGUAGGCGGUUUGUCGCGUCUGCUGUGAAAAUCCGGGGCUCAACCCCGGACUUGCAGUGGGUACGGGCAGACUAGAGUGUGGUAGGGGAGACUGGAAUUCCUGGUGUAGCGGUGAAAUGCGCAGAUAUCAGGAGGAACACCGAUGGCGAAGGCAGGUCUCUGGGCCACUACUGACGCUGAGAAGCGAAAGCAUGGGGAGCGAACAGGAUUAGAUACCCUGGUAGUCCAUGCCGUAAACGUUGGGCGCUAGGUGUGGGACUCAUUCCACGAGUUCCGUGCCGCAGCUAACGCAUUAAGCGCCCCGCCUGGGGAGUACGGCCGCAAGGCUAAAACUCAAAGGAAUUGACGGGGGCCCGCACAAGCGGCGGAGCAUGCGGAUUAAUUCGAUGCAACGCGAAGAACCUUACCAAGGCUUGACAUAUACCGGAAACAUCCAGAGAUGGGUGCCCCUUUUAUCGGUAUACAGGUGGUGCAUGGUCGUCAGCUCGUGUCGUGAAUGUUGGGUUAAGUCCCGCAACA